GCAGAAAGAUUUGAAAAGCUACCUCUUGGGUACUAUGCCUACUACCUGGGUGAUGGGAUCAAUUGCACUCAAAACCUCAUGCAAUUUACCCAGCAUCAUGUAGUAUACCCAUGUAACAAACCUGCACGUGUACCCCCAAAUCUAAAAUAAAAAUUGAAAUUACAUAAAAAUAUAAAUAUUGACUUUUUUUAAUGCAACUACUGCAAAAGGUAACACUACAAAAUGGCUGUCAUUUAAAACUUGUAUUAUCUCUUGAUUGGACAGAAUUGUCUAAAGACAAUGUUAUCCAUUUAGGUGCUGUUCUGGGAGAAUCCCAGAAGCAGAGAACACGGAGCAUGAUCUGCCAGUAAUUAAGUUUCAUGCUGUGAGUGGACUUGACAGAAUGCAUUUCUAUGCAUGAUCUCCUUUGAUCUUUACAACAUCCCAUUUUACAAAAUCAUUAUUAACAUCAUUUUUAAGCCAUUGAAUGGCAGACAAAUCAUGCUUGGAAUUGCCCUAGGCCUUCCAUUUCAACAGAAUGUAAAGGAAUCUUUACUGCGUUAGGCACAAAACAUUCAAUGUUACUGUUUGUCUAGUCAAAUAUUUCUUAAUGGAGUAAAACACAAGCUUCUGAGUUGAGAAAGCCUCAGUGAAAGGAUAAAGUACCUGAUUCCCAGUUUCUGUACAGUCAAUGUCCCUAACCCAAGGUUACUUCUCAUUUGGUACUAAUUUUCCUUUUGCAACUUGCUGCAGUUCUGAUAGUGGAGUAUUGUAGAUUAUUGUCUCCUCACAGGGUAUGCAGAAGUUAGAGAAAAACAACACUGAAACUGAAGCAGUAAUUUGAAAGAAAAAAAAUCAAAAUGACCAAAAAAAGACCUAUUAUCCCAACAGAGAAUUUCAAGAGAGGAGUUGAAGUGAAAAAGGGAAAAUGGGGCACAUGCACCUGAGUCUUGACUUUGCUGCCCAUUUGCUUUCAUUUUCAGUAUUCUAGAGCCCCUCAUGAAUGUUUGAUAAAAUAAUUCAUAUAGAAAUACAUAUAUUUCUUUUUUCCUGGAUACAAACAUGGAAACAGCUUAAGAUUUGGAAAUUCUAGACAAGGUUGCCAGGCUAAAGAAAUGUCUUCUCAGCAAGAAAAUUUAGAAUGUUCUUGUAAUUGGGCCUGGUGCGAUGGCUCCUGCCUGUAAUCCAAGCACUCUGGGAGGCCUACCUAGGCAGGUGGAUUGCUUAAACCUAGGAUUUAAAGACCAGCCUGGGCAACACGGUGAAACCCACAGUCUACAAAAAAAAUACAAAAAAAAAAAAAAAAAAAAAUUUAGCCAGGCAUGGUGGUGCUCGCCUGUAGUCCCAUCUACUCAGGGUGCUGACAUGUGGAGUCACUUCAGCCUAGAGAGGUUGAGGCUGUAGUGAGCUCUGAUUGUAUAACUGUACUCCAGCCUGGAUGACAGAGUGAGACCCUGCUUAAAAGAAAGAAAAGAAAGAAGAAAGAAAGAAAGAAAGAAAGAAAGAAGAAAGAAAGAAAGAAAGAAAGAAAGAAAGAAAGAAAGAAAGAGAAAGAAAGAAAGAAAGAGAAAGAAAGAAAAAAAAAGUUCUUACAGCACUUUAAUAAUGGAGUUGACUCAAGAUACAAACCCGGGUUUUUCUAAUUUCAAAAUGUUUCUUGCAUACACCACACCCCCAUAUAUAUGCUCAUACAGUAUAAUAGUUACUUCACUGUAUGUUUCUUUUUUUCAUAUUUCUUGUGAUUUAAAAAUAACCCUCGCCCAAUACAUAUAAAUAAUAUCAAAUCAAAAAUGACUUGUAAAUGCCACAGCAUAUAGCACGUUGGAAUUUCUUAGGUUUUAAAACUAAUAACUUCCUAAGUUUAAGACUUUAAAUAAGGACGGGCUUAGUGGCUCACGCCUGAAAUCCCAGCACUUUGAGAGGCCGAGGCAGGUGGAUCACCUGAGGUCAGGAGGUCGAGACCAACCUGAUCAACAUGGCGAAACCCUGUCUCUACUAAAAAUACAAAAAUUAGCCGGGCAUGGUUGCGGGGGCCUGUAAUCUCAGCUUACUUGGGAGGCUGAGAUAUGAGAACAGCUUGAACUCAGGAGGCGGAGGUUGCAGUGAGCCGAGAUCGCGCCGUUGCACUCCAGCCUGGGCGACGGAGUGAGACUCCGUCCAAAAACUUUAAAUAAUUUAUGUAAUGAGAGCACUUCAUGGAAGACUUCAGUGGAAUAUACAAAGGAGAGAGUGAUACAAACAUGUACAUUACCUUUAUCAGACUUUCAAAAACUCCCAAAAAUUGGAGAUAUGUAAGCUUCUGGGAUUGGCGUAUAAGUGCUGUAUAAGGGAGUGAUAAUUAGGCAGAACUCAAAAGAUGCUGGCUGAAACCCAGGGUUGAACCAGGGAACUUUAAGAUCUUCAGUCUAACGCUCUCCCAACUGAGCUAUUUCAGCUACUCUAAGCACACACCCUUAGUCAUUUCUUCAAAAUAUAAAAACGUCAUUUGUAGAGUGAGUGUAUUUUCUAAUGCCUAAUUCUGUUUUGUUCAAUAUCAAUACAAAAAUUAGCCAGGGGUGGUGGUGCGCGCCUGUAAUCCCAGCUACUAGGGAGGCUGAGGCAGGAGAAUUGCUUGAACCCGGGAGGUGGCGGUUGCAGUAAGCCGAGAUCACGCCACUGCACUCCAGACUGGGCGAUAGAGGGAGAUUGUCUAAAAAAAAUAAAUUAAAUAAAUAAAAUAAGUGACAGGAAAAGAAAGAAAAGAAGGAUCUCUUAUGUCCUCCAGUACAUUCUAUCUCUUCCUUAGAGUUUUUAAA
rnacentral:tRNA from 1 species